rnacentral:rRNA from 1 species
GGUUCGGUUCCGUACGACGUCGUCGUCGUCGUAGAGUGUUCGGGUUAAGUCCCGCAACGAGCGCAACCCCUAUCCUCAGUUGCCAUCAUUAAGUUGGGCACUCUGUGGAGACUGCCGGUGUCAAACCGGAGGAAGGUGGGGAUGACGUCAAGUCCUCAUGGCCCUUAUGACCAGGGCUACACACGUGCUACAAUGGCCGGUACAAAGAGUUGCGAUACCGCGAGGUGGAGCUAAUCUCAUAAAGCCGGUCUCAGUUCGGAUUGGAGUCUGCAACUCGACUCCAUGAAGUUGGAAUCGCUAGUAAUCGCGGAUCAGCACGCCGCGGUGAAUACGUUCCCGGGCCUU